UACGUAGGGUCCGAGCGUUGUCCGGAUUUAUUGGGCGUAAAGAGCUCGUAGGCGGUUCAGUAAGUCGGAUGUGAAAACUCAGGGCUCAACCCUGAGACGCCAUCCGAUACUGCUGUGACUUGAGUCUGGUAGGGGAGAACGGAAUUCCAGGUGUAGCGGUGAAAUGCGCAGAUAUCUGGAGGAACACCGAUGGCGAAGGCAGUUCUCUGGGCCAGUACUGACGCUGAGGAGCGAAAGCGUGGGGAGCAAACAGGAUUAGAACCCUUGUAGUCC
rnacentral:rRNA from 1 species